rnacentral:lncRNA from 1 species
CAGUUUUAUUGUGGUAUAAUUUGCCCACAGUAAAAUGCACACAUUUUAAGUACAGUUUGAUGAGUUCGGAGAAAUGUUUACCCCUCCACGCCACUCCUCUCCUUCAUAAGUUUCAUGCCAUCUCUUUCACCCCAGAAUGCUGGCUGCAGAGCUUCCCUUAGUGGCCCAUUUUCUAACUUUUCUAGGGAUGAGAGAUGAACAAAGCAAAGUCCCUGCCCUCAUGGGGCCAACAGGGCUAGAGCUGGGGUACAGCCAUUCUUCGGCUAGCUCAAGCCCCGGUUUAGAGACCCUGCCCCCUCUACCCAGCCUGCCCAGCCCUUCCGGUUUCUCCCGGCGGUGGUGGCGGAGCCAACCCUGGAGCACGCAGUGGGUGGCCGCGAGGAGCCGCAGCGCUGGGUGCCUCAGGUCUGCUAUUUCUCUCUUGGUGGUGGUAGCUUGUUUGAGAAAACAGCCCACAAAGAGGUUUUUUUUUUCCCUUUGUUUUUCCCCUGAAGAACUGUAAUGUAGAGCAGAUGUACAGUGAGUGGGAAAAAUAAUGAACUAAAAUGGCAAUGUAGAUACAAAACUGGUUAGUGUCCUAUGGGCCAUCUUUAGAGUUCAUCUUUUCUAUUGGACAGAGUUCAUUUGCAUCUCUCUCCGACAAAAAUUAUUUACAAUUUAACGGUUUCCUACAAGGUAACGUCUACUUUUACAGAGUCUGAGUCCCAGUAAAUAGCAAGUCAAACAAAAGUUUUCAUUCCCCCAGGGCAUUCAAUUACUCUUACGUUAACUUCUUUUGGAAAGGACCUUACUUUCAAGUUUUGGAUGAUUUUUCUCCAU